rnacentral:rRNA from 1 species
UACGUAGGGUGCGAGCGUUGUCCGGAAUUAUUGGGCGUAAAGAGCUUGUAGGCGGUUUGUCGCGUCUGCCGUGAAAAUUCGAGGCUCAACCUCGAACUUGCGGUGGGUACGGGCAGACUAGAGUGUGGUAGGGGAGACUGGAAUUCCUGGUGUAGCGGUGAAAUGCGCAGAUAUCGGGAGGAACACCGGUGGCGAAGGCGGGUCUCUGGGCCGAUACUGACGCUGAGGAGCGAAAGCGUGGGGAGCGAAACAGG